GCAUGGUUGGGAUCAAACAACAAAAUUCUUCAGUGUGAUUUUCAUUUACAAUGAAACUCUGACAGAAAACGGCCCUUCGGCAUGAGUUGCAAUUGGCUUUAAAAUCACACAUACUUUUAUAUGGGUCUUUCCUUUGAAUAUAAUGAGAAUGGUUACAGAGGCUGCGAAAUACAAAAAUUGCGAAUGUUUGAUGUCAACACACACUCCACUGUAAACAGAAAUAUCUGAGAGGCAAGGACAAAGGCGUGCAGGCAUAAGAGAUGGCAUGUAGAGAGGAAUCUCAAGUAGAUUCAAGUUGCCAGUGCCAGCAUCUGAAACCAUCUUUCAGGAUUUAUGCCAACUGUGGACCAUGGGUUGACAUUUUAUUCUUAUUGAUGAUUGCUGUACUGGAAAUCCAGUUGUUUGCUUAAGUACACAAACAAAAUUCUGGUAUGAGGAUAGAAAGAUGUUCUCCUUCUAGUCUCCCUUGGUCUCUGGUAGUGCAGCUAAUUUUAUGAGAUAACUACCCCAAAGAUUGAAGUAGAAAAAGGAAGUUCAAGAGAAACGAGAGAACUUUUUAAUCUGGUUUUUUCGACCACAAAAAACAGGAUAACAAGGAACACGAUCACCUUAAGCAUGAGACAAUAGAAAAAUAUCAAUCUUGGAAAGAAAGCAAAAUUGGAUCGAAUCCCAACUCAGAGAAUAAAGUGAAACAUUGGGAUUCGAUCUGUCCCCACACCCCCCCCCCCCCCCCC